rnacentral:rRNA from 1 species
GAUGAACGCUGGCGGCGUGCUUAACACAUGCAAGUCGAACGAUGAAGCCCAGCUUGCUGUGUGGAUUAGUGGCGAACGGGUGAGUAACACGUGAGUAACCUGCCCUUAACUCUGGGAUAAGCCUGGGAAACUGGGUCUAAUACCGGAUAUGAGCGUCCACCGCAUGGUGGGUGUUGGAAAGAUUUAUCGGUUUUGGAUGGACUCGCGGCCUAUCAGCUUGUUGGUGAGGUAAUGGCUCACCAAGGCGACGACGGGUAGCCGGCCUGAGAGGGUGACCGGCCACACUGGGACUGAGAAACGGCCCAGACUCCUACGGGAGGCAGAAGUGGGGAAUAUUGCACAAUGGGCGCAAGCCUGAUGCAGCGACGCCGCGUGAGGGAUGACGGCCUUCGGGUUGUAAACCUCUUUCAGUAGGGAAGAAGCGAAAGUGACGGUACCUGCAGAAGAAGCACCGGCUAACUACGUG